rnacentral:rRNA from 1 species
AUACGUAGGGAGCGAGCGUUGUCCGGAAUUACUGGGUGUAAAGGGUGCGUAGGCGGUCUAUUAAGUCAGAUGUGAAAUACCCGGGCCUAACCUGGGGGCUGCAUCUGAAACUGGUAGACUUGAGUGCAGGAGAGGAAAGUGGAAUUCCUAGUGUAGCGGUGAAAUGCGUAGAUAUUAGGAGGAACACCAGUGGCGAAGGCGGCUUUCUGGACUGUAACUGACGCUGAGGCACGAAAGCGUGGGGAGCAAACAGGAUUAGAUACCCUGGUAGUCCACGCUGUAAACGAUGGAUACUAGGUGUAGGGGUCAUAAGACUUCUGUGCCGCAGCAAACGCAAUAAGUAUCCCGCCUGGGGAGUACGACCGCAAGGUUGA